rnacentral:rRNA from 1 species
UACCAGCACCCCGAGUGGUCGGGACGAUUAUUGGGCCUAAAGCAUCCGUAGCCGGUUCUACAAGUCUUCCGUUAAAUCCACCUGCUUAACAGAUGGGCUGCGGAGGAUACUAUGGAGCUAGGAGGCGGGAGAGGCAAGCGGUACUUAGUGGGUAGGGGUAAAAUCCGUUGAUCCAUUGAAGACCACCAGUGGCGAAGGCGGCUUGCCAAUACGCGCUCGACGGUGAGGGAUGGAAAGC